rnacentral:rRNA from 1 species
UGGGGAAUUUUCCGCAAUGGGCGAUAGCCUGACGGAGCAAUGCCGCGUGGAGCUGGAAGGCCUACGGGUCGUCAACUUCUUUUCUCGGAGAAGAAACAAUGACGGUAUCUGAGGAAUAAGCAUCGGCUAACUCUGUGCUAG